rnacentral:rRNA from 1 species
GAUGAACGCUGGCGGCGUGCUUAACACAUGCAAGUCGAACGGUGAAGCCAAGCUUGCUUGGUGGAUCAGUGGCGAACGGGUGAGUAACACGUGAGCAACCUGCCCUGGACUCUGGGAUAAGCGCUGGAAACGGCGUCUAAUACUGGAUAUGAGACGUGAUCGCAUGGUCAACGUUUGGAAAGAUUUUUCGGUCUGGGAUGGGCUCGCGGCCUAUCAGCUUGUUGGUGAGGUAAUGGCUCACCAAGGCGUCGACGGGUAGCCGGCCUGAGAGGGUGACCGGCCACACUGGGACUGAGACACGGCCCAGACUCCUACGGGAGGCAGCAGUGGGGAAUAUUGCACAAUGGGCGGAAGCCUGAUGCAGCAACGCCGCGUGAGGGAUGACGGCCUUCGGGUUGUAAACCUCUUUUAGCAGGGAAGAAGCGAAAGUGACGGUACCUGCAGAAAAAGCGCCGGCUAACUACGUGCCAGCAGCCGCGGUAAUACGUAGGGCGCAAGCGUUAUCCGGAAUUAUUGGGCGUAAAGAGCUCGUAGGCGGUUUGUCGCGUCUGCUGUGAAAUCCCGAGGCUCAACCUCGGGCCUGCAGUGGGUACGGGCAGACUAGAGUGCGGUAGGGGAGAUUGGAAUUCCUGGUGUAGCGGUGGAAUGCGCAGAUAUCAGGAGGAACACCGAUGGCGAAGGCAGAUCUCUGGGCCGUAACUGACGCUGAGGAGCGAAAGGGUGGGGAGCAAACAGGCUUAGAUACCCUGGUAGUCCACCCCGUAAACGUUGGGAACUAGUUGUGGGGACCAUUCCACGGUUUCCGUGACGCAGCUAACGCAUUAAGUUCCCCGCCUGGGGAGUACGGCCGCAAGGCUAAAACUCAAAGGAAUUGGCGGGGACCCGCACAAGCGGCGGAGCAUGCGGAUUAAUUCGAUGCAACGCGAAGAACCUUACCAAGGCUUGACAUACACCAGAACGGGCCAGAAAUGGUCAACUCUUUGGACACUGGUGAACAGGUGGUGCAUGGUUGUCGUCAGCUCGUGUCGUGAGAUGUUGGGUUAAGUCCCGCAACGAGCGCAACCCUCGUUCUAUGUUGCCAGCACGUAAUGGUGGGAACU